GAUCUCCCAAUUGCUUCUUUUAAGAAAGUGGUUCCACAAGUUGUAAUCAACAAUAUUUGGAAGCAGAGAAAGAUUUGCCUUCACAAUCUUCUUUUGGUUCAUGUCGCAACGAUCUUCAAAGAAACGGAUAUAUUGGUUCGCAAUAUAUACAAUCACAGCCGAGAGUGUAUCAUAUUUUAUUUACGUCGAUAUUUAAAUAUGAUACCCAUGUAUAAUAUAUAGCAAAUGUCAUGUCGUUAUUAUCGUACGACCGUCGUUAUUUAAUUCGUGCC